rnacentral:rRNA from 1 species
UACGUAGGUCCCAAGCGUUGUCCGGAUUUAUUGGGCGUAAAGCGAGCGCAGGUGGUUUCUUAAGUCUGAUGUAAAAGGCAGUGGCUCAACCAUUGUGUGCAUUGGAAACUGGGAGACUUGAGUGCAGGAGAGGAGAGUGGAAUUCCAUGUGUAGCGGUGAAAUGCGUAGAUAUAUGGAGGAACACCGGAGGCGAAAGCGGCUCUCUGGCCUGUAACUGACACUGAGGCUC